AACGUAGGAGCCUAGCGUUAUCCGAAUUUACUGGGCGUAAAGCGCGUGCAGGCGGUUCGGUAAGUUGGAUGUGAAAUCUCCCGGCUCAACUGGGAGAGGUCGUUCAAUACUGUCGAACUGGAGGAUGGUAGAGGGAGGUGGAAUUCCCGGUGUAGUGGUGAAAUGCGUAGAUAUCGGGAGGAAUACCAGUGGCGAAGGCGGCCUCCUGGACCAUUCCUGACGCUCAGACGCGAAAGCUAGGGGAGCGAAC
rnacentral:rRNA from 1 species